rnacentral:rRNA from 1 species
UGGGGAAUAUUGGACAAUGGGCGCAAGCCUGAUCCAGCCAUGCCGCGUGGAUGAUGAAGGCCUUAGGGUUGUAAAGUCCUUUUAACGGGGAAGAUAAUGACGGUACCCGUAGAAUAAGCCCCGGCUAACUUCGUGCCAGCAGCCGCGGUAAUACGAAGGGGGCUAGCGUUGCUCGGAAUUACUGGGCGUAAAGCGCACGUAGGCGGAUCUUUAAGUCAGGGGUGAAAUCCUGGAGCUCAACUCCAGAACUGCCUUUGAUACUGAGGACCUUGAGUUCGGGAGAGGUGAGUGGAACUGCGAGUGUAGAGGUGAAAUUCGUAGAUAUUCGCAAGAACACCAGUGGCGAAGGCGGCUCACUGGCCCGAUACUGACGCUGAGGUGCGAAAGCGUGGGGAGCAAACA